GGGCCUGUAGCUCAGUUGGUUAGAGCAGCGGACUCAUAAUCCGUUGGUCCCCAGUUCAAGUCUGGGUGGGCCCACCA
rnacentral:tRNA from 6 species